ensembl:lncRNA
CAGGCCUGGGGACAUGGCCUCAGGUUGGACCUAGGACUAAAUGAUGUGUGUGGUCAUUGUUGGAGGCUCUGGCUGGGCCAGAUAGACACUGGGUCACUCACCUUUCCCAGGACUGUGGAGAGUCUGAGCUCUGCUUUAUUCCAGAACCCUUCACAGGCGGGAGCUCUCUGAGCUUUCUUAGACUGUGGCUAAGUCUCCUCAUCAGAAAGAAAUGGAGAUGAUAAUAUUUGUCUUUCUUAUCUCACAGUUAUUACAAAGAUAAAAUAAGAUAACAUAUGAAAUUGCCUUGAAAACUGUCAAAUACUACAGAGGCACACGUUCCAGUUAUCAUCAUAUUCUCAACCAUCCUGCAGUAAUGGGAUGCCAUUUUCAUGUCAGUGCUAAUGUAGGACUCCCACUGGGAAGAGAAUAAUCAAAAGAAUGCCGCUGCCUCUGCUCAAGCUCUCUGGAAGGAGCCCUCUGAGCCCAAGGAAGGGCCAUGCUCCCUCUCUAAGCAUCACCUACUCGCUGGCCAGUGUGUUCACCAAGCAGAGAGUUCGUGCACUCAUACUCAGAAAGGGCAUGGCUCUAGGAACUGCCUUCCACCUGCUGGUCUUUCACAUAUGUUAAUAAUAAAAACUCUUCUCAAACCUCUGGGAUCAGCAUACAUCUUUGGAAAACAGAAGUUGCCAGUUGCCAAUGCUGCCGGUCUUGUCUCUCUUAACACAGCUGUACUGCACCCACUGCUUUCCUAUUCAGCUCACCCUUCCUACAAAAUACAUCAAAUUUAAAAUGCGUUAAGUAAAUUAAGUUACCUAGGAGAGAUUUUAGCUCAGGGGAGCAGGGUGGUACUUAAAAAUGUUAAUUAUCUGGAGCACAGAGCUUAACAUUCUGGACUCCAAGAUGGUUUUUAAGCCUAUUUAGAUUUUCUCCAAAUUCUUUAAGGCUAAUGCAACCUUUAAAUGUAUCUAGUAAUCUCUAAUUAUUUGUGGAAAUGGUAGAUGUGAGAAGUCUAGAUUAAAUCCACAGAUAAUCCCCAAAUCCCAUUUUAGCCAACAGCAUGGCUCUUUUCCCACCAAGCCCAGCGCUAGGAGGACCAUUAAGAAGAGUAAGACUGCCUGGAGUUCUAAGCUCCCUGUUCUCCUGCCUACACUGUGAUGGAGAUGUUAAUGAAUCAGCCAAACUGCCAGGAAAAAAGUCAGCAGAAAGAAGAGUGGAAAAUCAGGGGCCUGGGCCACUGCCAAGCUAGAAAAGCAGACGCCGAGGAAUUAGAAGGUGCCAGAGUCCUAGCAGAAGAAAGGAGCAGCCCCAGAGCCUUGCCUUGGGAGACCUGGGCUGGUUUCCAGGAAGAGCCAGGCGGUUCUACUCUGUAAAGCUCCCACCCUCCAAUCACUGCUCUCUGCCCAGUUUGAGCAGCUGUGUGUUCACCCAAGAUGAACAAGACCAGGCUGGAAUCAGAAGGCUCCUCUCUGGGUUCAUAGCCCCAAGGCAGUGGACUGACUCAAGGACUCUCCUCAGGGGAAGACUACUCACAGGAUGAGGAAGGAAGAAGACAAAGAUUCUGUUGCUAGGACUCCUUUGUGAAUCCCACUGGCCUUCACUUUAGCCUUCUAGCACCUCUCCGUGCUUAUUAUUUCUAACUCGACAGUUCGUUAAUGUCAGAACUGCAGUGUUUCACCACCCAGGUCUACUUUCAAUGAACAUAAAAAGUUUACACUUUGUAAAGCUAUCUGACAUUCCAAAAUAAAUAUCGGUGAAACAAACCAAUGCAAGUCAUUUUAGGAUAAAGUUUUUAGGACAAGAAUAUUUUAUUGAACAAUUUAAUGCCUACUCAGUACCCACAAAGAUGCAAUCUGAUUUUUGAUGGGCUUCCUGUUCCCCUGCCUUCCUUUCCAG